rnacentral:pre_miRNA from 1 species
UCUUAUAGAUGAGCAAAGAAAGUGGUUUCUUGAGAUGGAAUCUACUCCUGGUAAAUAUGUUGUGAA